rnacentral:rRNA from 1 species
GCGGCGUGCCUAACACAUGCAAGUCGGAUGUGCCGCAAGGUGCAUGGCAGACGGGUGAGUAACGCGUGGGGAAUCUACCUCUUUGUGGGGAAUAACGCUCCGAAAGGAGUGGUAAUACCGCAUGAGACCUUCGGCUGGGAUGCUGGAGGUGAAACCUGGGGACCGCAAGGCCUGGGGCAAGGAGAGGAUCCUGCGUCUGAUUAGCUAGUUGGCGGGGUAAUGGCCCACCAAGGCGACGAUCAGUAGCCGGCCUGAGAGGGUGAUCGGCCACACUGGAACUGAGACACGGUCCAGACUCCUACGGGAGGCAGCAGUGGGGAAUUUUGCGCAAUGGACGAGAGUCUGACGCAGCAACYCCGCGUGGGUGAUGAAGGUCUUCGGACUGUAAAACCCUGUCGUCAGGGACGAAGGUGGCACGACUAAUAAUCGUGUUACUUGACGGUACCUGGAGAGGAAGCCCCGGCUAACUCUGUGCCAGCAGCCGCGGUAAUACAGAGGGGGCAAGCGUUAUUCGGAAUUAUUGGGCGUAAAGGGCGCGUAGGCGGUUUUUUAAGUCAGAUGUGUAAUCCCCGAGCUCAACUUGGGAACUGCAUCUGAGACUGGAAGGCUAGAGUACUGGAGAGGGUGGUGGAAUUCCUCGUGUAGCGGUGAAAUGCGUAGAGAUGAGGAGGAACACCAGUGGCGAAGGCGGCCACCUGGACAGUAACUGACGCUGAGGCGCGAAAGUGUGGGUAGCAAACAGGAUUAGAUACCCUGGUAGUCCACGCUGUAAACGAUGAACACUUGGUGUGGAGGGAGUUGACCCCUUCCGUGCCGGAGCUAACGCGUUAAGUGUUCCGCCUGGGGAGUACGGUCGCAAGGCUGAA